CGAGCUGGCCGGGCGGCCGCGUCGACGAUCUCCGGAUCGCCGCCGAGGAAAGUCCGGACUCCGCAGGGCAGGGUGGUUGUCAACGGCAACCCGGGGUGACCCGCGGGAAAGUGCCACAGAGAACAGACCGCCUCGCACACACCGUGCGGGGUAAGGGUGAAACGGUGGUGUAAGAGACCACCAGCACCCCGGGUGACCGGGGUGGCUCGGUAAACCCCACCCGGAGCAAGGUCAAGAGGCUCCCGUCCGCGGGAGCUGCGCAGGCGUUCGAGGGCGGCCCGUCCGAGCCUGCGGGUAGACCGCUCGAGCCUGCCGGUGACGGCAGGCCUAGAUGGAUGGUCGCCGAACGGUGCGCCGCGAGGCGCCCGGGAACAGGAUCCGGCUUACAGGCCAGCUCGUCCG
rnacentral:RNase_P_RNA from 1 species